rnacentral:rRNA from 1 species
GAACGGAGCACCCCUGAAGGAGUUUUCGGACAACUGAAGGGAAUGCUUAGUGGCGGACGGGUGAGUAACGCGUGAGUAACCUGCCUUGGAGUGGGGAAUAACAGUUGGAAGCAGCUGCUAAUACCGCAUGAUGUAGUUGAGUCGCAUGGCUCUGACUGCCAAAGAUUUAUCGCUCUGAGAUGGACUCGCGUCUGAUUAGCUAGUUGGCGGGGUAACGGCCCACCAAGGCGACGAUCAGUAGCCGGACUGAGAGGUUGGCCGGCCACAUUGGGACUGAGACACGGCCCAGACUCCUACGGGAGGCAGCAGUGGGGAAUAUUGGGCAAUGGGCGCAAGCCUGACCCAGCAACGCCGCGUGAAGGAAGAAGGCUUUCGGGUUGUAAACUUCUUUUCUCAGGGACGAAGAAAGUGACGGUACCUGAGGAAUAAGCCACGGCUAACUACGUGCCAGCAGCCGCGGUAAUACGUAGGUGGCAAGCGUUAUCCGGAUUUACUGGGUGUAAAGGGCGUGUAGGCGGGAGUGCAAGUCAGAUGUGAAAACCACGGGCUCAACCUGUGGCCUGCAUUUGAAACUGUACUUCU